UACAGAGGUCUCAAGCGUUGUUCGGAAUCACUGGGCGUAAAGGGUGCGUAGGCGGCGCGGAAAGUCAGAUGUGAAAUCCGAAGGCUCAACCUUCGAAUAGCAUCCGAAACUUCCAUGCUCGAGAUUUGUAGAGGAGUCUGGAACUCUCGGUGUAGCAGUGAAAUGCGUGGAUAUCGAGAAGAACGCUCGUAGCGAAGGCGAGGCUCUGGGCAAGUUCUGACGCUGAGGCACGAAGGCUAGGGGAGCAAACGGG
rnacentral:rRNA from 1 species